rnacentral:rRNA from 1 species
UACAGAGGGUGCAAGCGUUAAUCGGAUUUACUGGGCGUAAAGCGUGCGUAGGUGGUUCAGUGUGUCGGUCGUGAAAUCCCCGGGCUCAACCUGGGAACUGCGGCCGAAACUGCUGAGCUAGAGUGUGGUAGAGGGCGGUGGAAUUCCGGGUGUAGCGGUGAAAUGCGUAGAUAUUCGGAAGAACACCAGUGGCGAAGGCGACUCGCUGGACAAGUAUUGACGCUGAGGUGCGAAAGCGUGGGGAGCAAACAGG